AUACCUUUUUUGGCCUUUUGGCUAAGAUCAAGUGUAGUUGUUCUUAUCAGUUUAAUAUCUGAUACGUGGGCCAUCGGCUCACAUGAUAUUAAAUUAAUUUUUAAAGGGGGAGGGUCCAUCAUGGUGGCUUGCUGCCAGGGCCCUCGAGCGUCGCCCAUGCGUUGCACUACAGCUUGGGCCUGGCACAUCCGUC